UGCGAUAAAAUGUGUUUCGUUAACCUAUUGCAGGUCUUAUUGGUAGCUCAGCGGCAGGUGUUGUACCUCGACUCUCUCAAUCCUAAAGGAUUUGGAGACGAGGCCUACCGAAACGUAUUUAGGUUGUGAUAAUAGCAAUAGUUUUUGGCUUUGUUCUAUGGCCAAGCAUGUUCCCAGCCCUCACACAUUCCUCUGAGUUCCAGAGGUGGUCCUGUUCUACCACUUACAUAACCCAUUAAUGACCAGAGAUAUAUGUUUGUGAUAUUUCGAGUCACACACAAAUUCAACUUUAAAAUAUGGCAUGGUAGUUAGGGUAGAUAUGAGCAACAACAAUUCUUAAUUUGGUUUCCAAUUUCAGUUUGUCAUUAAUGGGUUAAGAACACAUAGAAAAAAUCCUAAGAAAUUUUGUUCAAGCCAAGUUCCGUGGAUGGUUUCCCCGGUAGCCUUGUUCCCAGGCUACAAAACAAUAUGGUCAGUGUUCUUACUGUGUGUAUGCUACUGUACUUAUUAGACAGAUGGCAUGCUCCAUUGAGGCGGGACAAUGGACAGAGAAGACUGGUGCGGAUCUGGAGGUGUUUACAACAAACUUCACAGGGGCUCAAUUAUUUUUUAACUUUGGAAAAAACGGAGAAUGGUGUUGCCUCCUUAAGUAAUUUCUUUUGGCUUUUCAUUUUUCCAGGAAUUCCCCACACAAACAUCAGGGGAUUCUUGUGGAAUUUUCAUGUUGAUGUAUGCCCUCUGCUUGUGUACCUCCACCCCCUAUCACUUCUCCGAGGUAUCUUCAUUUUCAGUUUUUUUUUUUUUGUGUGUUUAAAUAGAAAAGCGAAGACAUAUGUUAAAUAUCUGAGAACUAAAUCAAUUUCUUGUCUUGAAUCACAUUUUUAGAAUGACAUGCCACAAAUAAGGAGGUGGUGGUGUGUACACCUGUUGCAGCGAUUUGCAAUUGAAGGGUAUGCAUGUUAAAGUCAAGGUUUCAGAAGGUUUCUUUGUGAUGUCUUGAAAUUAGUGUGCCAUAUAUGACAUGACUUGCCCCUGUUUCUGCACAUAGUUCUAUCUCCUAUUGUAUUCUCUACUAAAUUACAUAAUUUCAUUUUAGACAUGGACAAGCCUUUGAUUCGUGGACCAAGGAGAGUCAGGAGCUCCUCGAAGGGAGGUACUUGCCUUUGUUCAGGAUGAGCAAGAUCCUUAAGCAAGGCACAAAGGUUAGUUAUCAAGAUGUUAUACAAAUAACAGGUUUAAGUGAUUUAAGUGACACACUGUAUCUGCAUGAUUGCUGCAAAUGUACUUGUCCAGGCGAAAAAUGUAGAAGAAAGGCAUUGCCUAGCAGAGGAAAUGCUCCUCUGUCAAUUUCAGAUGCGCAAAGGACGGAGGCGGGUUAAAUGAUUUAAAAACUGGAUACCAAAGCUUGUAUGUUUGCAAUAAAGUGACAUGAGGACUGUGUUCAUAGGACAACACACACAAACACACACACAAACACACACUGCUUUUUUCACACAGUAAACCCAUUUCUGGAACUCAGCUCAUUGCCCUGUGUCUGUACAACCCAUUACUGUAUUGCUAAUAGUUUAUUCCCCUAUUGGUGUGUGAUUACAGCUCAAAGUAACUAAAGAAUGUAUCAUAGAUUUGACCCUCUCUGAGUAUAUUGUGCAGAUAUAUAUAUGAUAUGCCUCUUUUAUCCUUGUUAAGUCUUCCAUCCUGAUGCAGACUGCAGUGGGUGGGUGCAGUGCCAGUGGUGCAGCGGUUGGCUGCACAAAGACUGUGCUGGUGCAGUCAAAUAUGAGAAAAUCAGCAAAACUGAUGAAACAGAGAUGCAAAAGGAUCGUGGAUACCGCAGAAAGAGAAGGGGUUCUUGCGGUCUUCAGUAAGGACCAAGUCAAGGUGACUUUAUGUAAAGUGUGU